rnacentral:rRNA from 1 species
GAUGAACGCUGGCGGCGUGCCUAAUACAUGCAAGUCGAGCGAACAGACGAGGAGCUUGCUCCUUUGACGUUAGCGGCGGACGGGUGAGUAACACGUGGGUAACCUACCUAUAAGACUGGGAUAACUUCGGGAAACCGGGGCUAAUACCGGAUAAUAUUUCGAACCGCAUGGUUCGAUAGUGAAAGAUGGCUCUGCUAUCACUUAUAGAUGGACCUGCGCCGUAUUAGCUAGUUGGUAAGGUAACGGCUUACCAAGGCAACGAUACGUAGCCGACCUGAGAGGGUGAUCGGCCACACUGGAACUGAGACACGGUCCAGACUCCUACGGGAGGCAGCAGUAGGGAAUCUUCCGCAAUGGGCGAAAGCCUGACGGAGCAACGCCGCGUGAGUGAUGAAGGUCUUCGGAUCGUAAAACUCUGUUAUUAGGGAAGAACAAACGUGUAAGUAACUGUGCACGUCUUGACGGUACCUAAUCAGAAAGCCACGGCUAACUACGUG